UACGAAGGGGGCUAGCGUUGUUCGGAAUUAUUGGGCGUAAAGCGCGUGUAGGCGGCUUUGCAAGUCGGGUGUGAAAGCCCUCAGCUCAACUGAGGAAGUGCGCCCGAAACUGCAGAGCUUGAGUACCGGAGAGGAUGGCGGAAUUCCCCAAGUAGAGGUGAAAUUCGUAGAUAUGGGGAGGAACACCGGUGGCGAAGGCGGCCAUCUGGACGGAUACUGACGCUGAGACGCGAAAGCGUGGGGAGCAAACAGG
rnacentral:rRNA from 1 species